rnacentral:rRNA from 1 species
GUGGGGAAUCUUGCGCAAUGGGCGAAAGCCUGACGCAGCCAUGCCGCGUGAAUGAUGAAGGUCUUAGGAUUGUAAAAUUCUUUCACCGGGGACGAUAAUGACGGUACCCGGAGAAGAAGCUCCGGCUAACUUCGUGCCAGCAGACGCGGUAAUACGAAGGGGGCUAGCGUUGCUCGGAAUUCCUGGGCGUAAAGGGCGCGUAGGCGGACAGCUUAGUCAGAGGUGAAAGCCCAGGGCUCAACCUUGGAAUUGCCUUUGAUACUGGCUGUCUUGAGUUUGGGAGAGGUGAGUGGAACUCCGAGUGUAGAGGUGAAAUUCGUAGAUAUUCGGAAGAACACCAGUGGCGAAGGCGACUCACUGGCCCAAUACUGACGCUGAGGCGCGAAAGCGUGGGGAGCAAACAGGAUUAGAUACCCGGGUAGUCC